ACAGGUAACACACACACACACCAGUACUAUAUCAGCCAACAGCCCUACAGGUAACACACACACCAGUACUAUAUCAGCCAACAGCCCUACAGGUAACACACACACACACACACACCAGUACUAUAUCAGCCAACAGCCCUACAGGUAACACACACACACACACCAGUACUAUAUCAGCCAACAGCCCUACAGGUAACACACACACACACACACCAGUACUAUAUCAGCCAACAGCCCUACAGGUAACACACACACACACCAGUACUAUAUCAGC
ensembl:lncRNA